CUACAUACUGAGCAAUAGAAAUAGCAACAUUUUCUCUGAAAACAAAAACAUACGUUACUGCAAACCCAUCUCUCAUGACUGCCUUGAAGAAAACUAAGUUUGGAGGGCAAACUGCCAUACGAAAAUGUGGAAAGACAGAUGAAUCUGCAGAGUCAAAGACAAGAUCUGCUUACCUGGAGCAGAAGCCAUAAACUGAGAAACUGGACUUCAACAGAAAGGGAGAAAUAAAGACUAUCCCAGGCUCUGAAAGACAUACGAAAGUAACUUCUUCAGGGAGAAGGAAAAUCAUAUAGAAUUUUAUUUACCAUGUGGUUCUGGAUUAGAAUCUAAUGAUAGAAAUGCUUUGUAGAUAUCUGAAAAAUGAAAAAGAAAGACAUGUUAUUUUCUGGAGAUGGGGAGACAAGUGAACAGAUGUGGAGUUUACUGAAGCUUCAAGGCAUCUUGGUUUAUAUGCAAUGCUACGACUAAUGGACAGUAAAUUGGAAAAGGUUUAUAUCAAAUUGUGGAAGCAACUUUGAGCUCAUCAUAUAAAUUGUGGUC
rnacentral:lncRNA from 10 species